rnacentral:rRNA from 1 species
GACGAACGCUGGCGGCGUGCUUAAUACAUGCAAGUCGAACGCUAAGGCCCUGUUCUUGUGGCGUGUUCAUGUGGCGAACGCGUGUGUAUCACGCGAGUAGCCUGCCCUUUUCUUUGGGAUACCUUCUGUAAACUGGGGUUCUUAUCCGAUAUGAACUCCUUCUGCACGGUUUUGGUUGUAGAGUUUGGGCGGUUGGGGAUUGACUCGGGGUUCAUCAGCUUGUUGGUUGGGUAGUGGCUUACCAAGGCAGCGACGGGUAGCCGGCCUGAGAGGGUGAACGGCCACAUUGGGACUGAGAGACGGCCCAGAAGCGUACGGGAGGCAGCAGUGGAGAGUAUUGCAGAGUGGGCGGGAGCGUGAUGCAACGGCGCCGCGUGCGGGAUGACGGCCUUGGAGUGGUAAACCGCUUUCGCCUGUGAAGAAGCGUGAGGGAAGGUAAUGGGUAAAGAAGCACCGGCUAAAUAAGUG